rnacentral:lncRNA from 1 species
AACAAUAUAAUCAAACAUUUGUAAUUGAUUUUUCACUUUUACAAAUAUAAGGUUAAGAUUUUUUUAAUAGUGUAUGACGCAAUCGUUCUAGUUCUUGCUAUAUGCAUAGCUGCCACAUAUAUACAUCACAUACAAUCUUGAUUCUUGAAAUCGGAUUUGGAUAUGUUUGAACAGAUCAGAAGAAUCUGGAGCACCUACAAGUUGCAACACAAAUUUGAAAUCACACAAAUAAAAGAAAAACACAGCAAGCCAGCAAAUGGAGAAAAGAAAGACAACAAAUUGAAAGUGUUUUCAUUUUAACAUCAAUUAUUUUGUUAAUGUCUUUGGUAACAAUUGCAUCCCAAAAUCAGGAAACCUAAAUCAAGCAGUCAACCUUACAAUCACCAAAAAACAAGGAGAAUUAUCUACAGGGAAAAAAAAAAUCAGAAGCAAUUCAAAAUACCCAAAACUCUACAAGCUUUUCAAAGUCAAGGAACCUAUCCACAUAAGUUAUAACCUUUGCACCUUACAAGUUUUGAUGGAUCCGACUCCAUUAGAAACCCUUGCAAUAAGCAAAUAAAUGCAGCGGCUAGGUUUAAGAUUCUUGCAGGCUUCGGCUGGUAGCGUGGCAACGGUACAAUUCACGGGCUCAACGCCUGUCGACUGGGAUGCCGUCGGCAUGCAGCUGGGGCAUCGACGACAACUGCCGAUUUUUUUUUUUUUUUUCUCAAAGUGAUUGGUUGUGUUCGUGGGUGAUGCGGCUGUUGGUUGUGUUCGUGGGUGAUGCAUCGAUUCUUUUCUCUUUUGAUUUGGGAAUUUAAGGGAUUUAGGAAUGUUUUUCAAUUUUUAUUUCUUAUUUAUGUUUAAGUUAUAUAUUCUUUUUAAUUUUAAGUGCAAUCCGAUCGGAUUGAUCCGGAUCCGAUCCGAAUCAAAUUCGAUCGGAUUGCAAAGUUUCUAUCCGAUCGGAUUGAGAGGUCAAUUCGAAACUUAUCUGAACAUAUUCAGAUAAGUUCGGAUCGGAUCGAAUUGACCCGAAUCCAAUCCGAUGCCCACCCCUAAUUUAUGGUGCUUCAUUAG